CUUUUUGUUGUUUCUUAUUCCUUUUUCUCUCCAGACAUAUCGCCCCCGUCUUAACCCAAACCAAGUAGAACACGAGCUCAAUACUGAUCUUCUGCGAAGUCGAAUUAGAGAUGGAUUUGAAGACAGAGGCCAAAUCGGAGAUGGAACAAUACAUGGGUCUUCAACGAAAAGUCCUAACGUGUUGGAAGCUUGAAACUCAGCGCCUUGCUUCUCUCUGUGAGAAAUCAGUGAUUUUGAAAAAGAGGAGGUUUGUGCAUCGGGGAGCCAUCUUCAAAGGUCGGCAUAUUGUGGGUACAAAUCAAGUACAGGAGCUGUGGUGUCACAAAUUCCGGAGUUCCAGAAUUUGAUUCAAUUGGUAUAAGGUGAGGACAGCAACUGCAGUCAAGACUCCAGAGUUUCAAUUUGAGGGUGAGUCUGACUAUUUAGACUUUAUUUAUUUUUUCUUUUUCCGUGUGUUAUCUAAGUUGGUGCUUUUGGGAAGCAAGCAUGGAAUUUGGGGACAGGCUAUAUGGUAUGGUGGUUUGAAAAAAAAAGACGAGGGAGGAAGGGAGAUUGUUCGUGUUGGUGUUACAAAAGGCAGGCCCUGUUUAAAUUGACAUGAUGAUGGAAGGGACUGUUCUGUUUAUAGACCAUCGGAGACGCUGCUCCGGUAUAUUCAUCGGGACGCUGCCCAGCAUGAUUCAUCGGGACGCUGCCCGGCAUGUUCAUCGGAGACGCUGCUCCGGCAUGUUCAUCAGAGACGCUGCUCUGACAUGUUUUCUUUUAUGCAGCAUUGUUGAGCAACCUGUGAACACAAAGAAAGUGGAGAUCAUGGUAGGGAGGGAGUCUCAACCUUUGUGGUGAACUUCAUGCUGUUGGAUUCUUCUUGCUUGCAGCAGGGUCUCGGCUACCUUCUCCUCUUUCCCUGUCUCCCCUCCGUGUCACUAUUGCUAGCUUUAUAUAGUGGACUGAUGGAGAGUUUAACAUGGAUGUUGUUGACUUCCACAUGGAAUGAAAUAGCUAGAGUCUCAUUAAUUCAAGGCUCUUGAAGAUGAAUUGUCCUUAUCUUUCAUUGAGACGUUCUCUCCUGCUGCUCAUAUUCUUUCUCUUUUUUUUUUUUUUUAUCACUAUUUAGCUGGAACUUUAUCUUGUCUUGUAUAAUAAAGAAAGCUACCAGCAAAGUGUAGCACGGCAUUAUGGAAUUUUGCUCCUCUUUGGCCUCAUAUAUUCAUUAUUUAUAAUUAUUAUUAUUUUUUAUAUUUCAACAAAGUUAUGUUAUAGCAGUUUAUAGAUGGCCAUGUGCGUAUCAAAGAAAGAGAUAACAAGACUUAUCUUUUUGGUUGACUUUUCUGCCAAUGAACUUGGUGAAGAGGCCAGGUGUUCAAAGAAAAUUGAGAUGUGGACGCUCGGAGAAGAACACAGAGAUGAGCAAUGGUUUCAUGUUUGACUAUAGCUGGAGCCUGAUGACCACUGGAGCCCGAAGAAGGGAAUUGCGGUCAAUUGUCGCUGAUGUAUCCUAGCGGAAGAAGUGCCGCUGAUGGAUGUUUAGCGGAGCUUUGCUUCCGGCUGACGAAGCCUAGUAGUGAAGUUUCCCGCUGACGAAGCUUAGCGGAGGAGGCUUUGCCUGAUGGGUCAAGAUGGCUGGCAGUCAGCGGAGGAAGUUGGGAGGUGGUGCUUAGCGGAGGCAGCUGGAUGGCAGCGGAGGAUUAUCCGACGAAGAUGGCUAGCGUUCGGCGGAGCUUAAACAGAUCAGCGAUGCAGCGGAGCCUGAUUAGCGGUGCUCUGUCCAUGGCCGGCGGAGGCAGGCUAGAAGAGAUAGUCCGGCGGAGCGGAGCCUCGGAGUUGGGCGGAGAAUCGGAACUGUGGAGCAGAGGUGCUCGACGCUAGAGCAGUUUUGGCCGUCGGUUUUGCGGCUGGCGGAGGUUUUGCCACCGGUGGCUCAUAGCGGGAAUUUGGUGGAGACCUGGACCGGACUGGAAUUCGCUCGAUGAUGAUCGUCGAAUUGCAACGAUGCUCCUGGGGGUCAGCGGUGCCGCUGAGUGGAGCGAAACUCGUUGAUGAUGUUAGCGCUGUAGCCUAGUGGUGGCCUGCCAGCGGAGGUGGCUGGCGGAGUUAGUGGGUUGUCCGGCGGAAGGGCUCGCUGGAGGAGGAAGCUUGGGGCUUGGGGCUCAGCGGAGGCGCUGGCUGUUGGUGUUGAACUGUUGAUGAUCGAUCGAAAGAAGAAAGCAUGGGUGCCCAGAGAAGUUUUCUGGUGUCCAGAGUAAAUCAUCACAAUUUUUUUUUUUUUUUUUUGUGACUAGGUCAGCGUUGACUAUUUGAGUUGGGCGUUGACCAACCUUGAACGGCCCCAAUCUGAUGUUUGAACGAGCGUUGAAACCUUGCAACCUUGCAAGCACUGGGAACAAAUUUAUGUUUGAAUUUUUUUUUUGUUACCGCCAAGGAUGGAUAGCGGCGGAUGUAAGGCUUGAUUGAGAAUACAAGGCAAGGAAGGUCGAGUCCUAGCGCCAAUGUUAACGUUAGAGGUCCGAGGGAAUCUCUAGUUAGCUUGAGAGAGAGAGAGAGAGAGACGAGAUGUAUAGUGGUUCGUCUCCCGCCUUAGCGGGAAACUACGUCCACUUGAAUGUUACACUAGUGUGUUGAGCCUUGCGGCCCAAAGGGGAUUACAAAGUGUGUAAUGGGAUCAUGUUCUAAGUGGGAGGAGAGUUCCUUUUAUAGGUGAAGGAAGCCAUCUCCUCUACAUUUUCUUAAAUGUGGGAUGUAGAAAUCACUAUUCUAGUCUAGAAAGCAUGUUUGUGAAGGCAUGUUGGCAAGGCCGGGAAGGUGGCUUCUCGGCGACGUAUUUGCCGCUUCCGGAUACCGUAGCGUAGCCUGAACAUAGGGCUACAAGAUGCAAGUAGCGGUUGGGCCUCUCCAUGGCUUACGGGUGUCCCAAAGAGGGUGUUAUUUAUGCUCGGUGAAGUAGCAAAGUAGCUUGCUAGUAGAGGUAUCUACAAUAACAUUACACAUAUCACCAUCGCCACCCUUAUACUUCAUAUGUACUCAAUGGAUGAUGCAUCAAUUGAUAAUAUAUACUUCGCAAUGUAAUUGCGUCAAAUAUUCAUUCAUUCUAUAACAAACAUGUCAUGCAACAUAUAUGCAUACAAUACAGUUGAGUAGAGGUUCCCCAGAUCCCCCUACCUGGAUUCCAAGCUAUUGUAUAGAUACAUGUUCCUGCAUAAAAAGUAAAUAUCCAAGUACAAUUCACAUUUUCUAUGCAUAAGCACAUAAUUUAUUUUAAACACAAAGCUAUGAUUCUGCCCUAAGAACAUAUUUCAAUAUCGAGCUUAUGUCU